rnacentral:rRNA from 1 species
UAGGGAAUAUUGCAAAAUGGGCGAAAGCCCGAUGCAGCAACGCCGCGUGGGCGAUGAAGGCCUUCGGGUCGUAAAGCCCUUUUGGCGGGGACGAUGAUGACGGUACCCGCAGAAUAAGCCCCGGCUAACUUCGUGCCAGCAGCCGCGGUAAGACGAAGGGGGCUAGCGUUGUUCGGAAUUACUGGGCGUAAAGCGCGUGUAGGCGGUUGCCAAAGUCGGGUGUGAAAGCCUUGAGCUCAACUCAAGAAUAGAACUCGAUACUUGGUGGCUAGAGGACCGGAGAGGAUAGUGGAAUUCCCAGUGUAGUGGUGAAAUACGUAGAGAUUGGGAAGAACACCAGUGGCGAAGGCGGCUAUCUGGACGGUUACUGACGCUAAGACGCGAAAGCGUGGGGAGCAAACA